GCCAGAUGUAGCUGCUGCCAGCCCUACAGGAUCUACACUGACUACUGAGCAAGCGCCGGGCCUCCAGUGAUAGAACCCCGCCACUACUCCGCAGUCCAGGGGGGAGAAUCAUGGCCUGCUGGAGCGCCGUUCCAUCGAAGAACCGCAUGGACGCAAACUUGUGAAUCCUAGAAAACACAAAAAUACUUUUAGAGAUGGUGGACACAUUCUGGCUGAAAUGGUGUCAAGAAGACAAAGGGGGAUCUGGCAGCGGUCCAGCAGAGAGGUAUGUGAACUCUGCUUGGCCCAGACGCCCCCCAGCCC